UACGGGGGGGGGCAAGCGUUGUUCGGAAUUACUGGGCGUAAAGGGUCCGUAGGUGGCCAACUAAGUCAGACGUGAAAUCCCUCAGCUUAACUGGGGAACUGCGUCUGAGACUGGAUGGCUCGAGUGCAGGAGAGGAAUGCGGAAUUCCAGGUGUAGCGGUGAAAUGCGUAGAUAUCUGGAGGAACACCGGUGGCGAAGGCGGCAUUCUGGACUGCAACUGACACUGAACGACGAAAGCCAGGGGAGCAAACGGG
rnacentral:rRNA from 1 species